AGUGAACGCUGGCGGCAGGCCUAACACAUGCAAGUCGAACGGCAGCACAAGAGAGCUUGCUCCCUUGGUGGCGAGUGGCGGACGGGUGAGGAAUGCAUCGGAAUCUGCCCAUUUGUGGGGGAUAACCUCGGGAAACCGUGACUAAUACCGCAUACGACCUACGGGUGAAAGCAGGGGAUCUUCGGACCUUGCGCAGAUGGAUGAGCCGAUGCGGGAUUAGCUAGUUGGAGGGGUAAAGGCCCACCAAGGCGACGAUCCGUAGCUGGUCUGAGAGGAUGAUAGGCCAACCUGGGACUGAGAAACGGCCCAGCCCCCUAGGGGAGGCAGCGGUGGGGAAUUUUGGACAAGGGGCGAAAGCCUGAUCAAGCAAUGCGGGGUGAGUGAAGAAGGCCUUCGGGUGGUAAAGCACUUUUGUUGGGAAAGAAAAGCAGCAGUUAAUACCCGGAUGUCAUGACGGUACCCAAAGAAUAAGCACCGGCUAACUUCGUG
rnacentral:rRNA from 1 species